CAUUUACAGCAGCAGCUCGGCGAUCUGGACGGCGUUGAGCGCGGCGCCCUUCUUGAUCUGGUCACCGCACACAAACAGGUCCAGGCCCUUGUUGUCAUCACGCGAGAUGUCGCGGCGCACGCGGCCCACGAACACGUUGUCCUUGGUGGUGGCGUCCAGGGGGGUGGGGAAGCUGCAGGGGCACGUCAAAAGGAAGAAGCCACGUCAGCUCAUCCACUUGAGUUCACAGGUUCCUGGACGGGAAACAAUGUGCAUCUGGCGCAGCAACGGACGCCUGCUUCGCCAUCCCGCCGUCACCACGCUCGCCUGCGCCUCUACAGCUGCUUUCCGACGGCAACGUGUUCCGCCAAUCACCAGCAAUCCCCCUAGCCAGCUCCUCCCAGGCUGCCCUAGCCAUCGCCGCCACCGCCAAUCAUGUCUUUGCCGCGCCUGCCCCCGCUGCCAGCCCUGAGCCCAGCCCUGGCCCCCAUGUCGCACCGGUUGUUCUGGCGGUCGUUAAUGAUGGACACGCCGGGGAAGGCCGCCAGCGCCUCCAGCGCUUGCGCCUCGGAGAUGUCCUUCUCGAACUGGGCGAGAUUCACAACACACACGCAAGGCACGAUCGGGUCAGCGCUUGCGCGUCAGGCAGUGGGGGCAUUGGCUGCCACCGGUCUCCUCGCCGCACACAGCGCCAGGUUGCUCAACCCCGUUCAAUGACCAACACCCCGUCUUGCUUGGCCGCUGCAGGCCGCCGUCGCACCUCCAGGUUGAUGGACUCGGCGUGGGCGCGCAUGACGGGCACGCGCACGCAGGUGGCGGUGAUGCGGAUCCCGGGGUUGUUCCAGAUCUUGCGGGUCUCCUUCACCAGCUUCAUCUCCUCCUCGUUGU
rnacentral:lncRNA from 1 species